rnacentral:rRNA from 1 species
CCAAACGGUGCUUACACAUGCAAGUCGAACGAUGAACCCGAAGCUUGCUUUGGGGGAUUAGUGGCGAACGGGUGAGUAACACGUGAGCAACCUGCCCCUCACUCUGGGAUAAGCGCUGGAAACGGCGUCUAAUACUGGAUACGAGAUGCGACCGCAUGGUCAGUGUCUGGAAAGAUUUUUUGGUGGGGGAUGGGCUCGCGGCCUAUCAGCUUGUUGGUGAGGUAAUGGCUCACCAAGGCGUCGACGGGUAGCCGGCCUGAGAGGGUGACCGGCCACACUGGGACUGAGACACGGCCCAGACUCCUACGGGAGGCAGCAGUGGGGAAUAUUGCACAAUGGGCGGAAGCCUGAUGCAGCAACGCCGCGUGAGGGAUGACGGCCUUCGGGUUGUAAACCUCUUUUAGCAGGGAAGAAGCGAAAGUGACGGUACCUGCAGAAAAAGCACCGGCUAACUACGUGCCAGCAGCCGCGGUAAUACGUAGGGUGCAAGCGUUAUCCGGAAUUAUUGGGCGUAAAGAGCUCGUAGGCGGUUUGUCGCGUCUGCUGUGAAAUCCCGAGGCUCAACCUCGGGCCUGCAGUGGGUACGGGCAGACUAGAGUGCGGUAGGGGAGAUUGGAAUUCCUGGUGUAGCGGUGGAAUGCGCAGAUAUCAGGAGGAACACCGAUGGCGAAGGCAGAUCUCUGGGCCGUAACUGACGCUGAGGAGCGAAAGGGUGGGGAGCAAACAGGCUUAGAUACCCUGGUAGUCCACCCCGUAAACGUUGGGAACUAGUUGUGGGGUCCUUUCCACGGAUUCCGUGACGCAGCUAACGCAUUAAGUUCCCCGCCUGGGGAGUACGGCCGCAAGGCUAAAACUCAAAGGAAUUGACGGGGACCCGCACAAGCGGCGGAGCAUGCGGAUUAAUUUCGAUGCAACGCGAAGAACCUUACCAAGGCUUGACAUACACGAGAACGGCCAGAAAUGGUCAACUCUUUGGACACUCGUGAACAGGUGGUGCAUGUGUCGUCAGCUCGUGUCGUGAGAUGUGGGGUUAAGUCCCGCCACGAGCGCCAUCCUCGGUUCAUGUGCCAGGCACGUAAUGUGGCAACUUCAUGGAUAACUGCCCGGAUCAACUUCGGAAGGAAAAG